rnacentral:rRNA from 1 species
GACGAACGCUGGCGGCGUGCUUAACACAUGCAAGUCGAACGGAAAGGCCCUGCUUUUGUGGGGUGCUCGAGUGGCGAACGGGUGAGUAACACGUGAGUAACCUGCCCUUGACUUUGGGAUAACUUCAGGAAACUGGGGCUAAUACCGGAUAGGAGCUCCUGCUGCAUGGUGGGGGUUGGAAAGGUUCGGCGGUUGGGGAUGGACUCGCGGCUGAUCAGCUUGUUGGUGGGGUAGUGGCUUACCAAGGCUUUGACGGGUAGCCGGCCUGAGAGGGUGACCGGCAACAUUGGGACUGAGAUACGGCCCAGACUCCUACGGGAGGCAGCAGUGGGGAAUAUUGCACAAUGGGCGGAAGCCUGAUGCAGCAACGCCGCGUGCGGGAUGACGGCCUUCGGGUUGUAAACCGCUUUCGCCUGUGACGAAGCGUGAGUGACGGUAAUGGGUAAAGAAGCACCGGCUAACUACGUG